GAGAGGAUGAGAACAUGGCAGCAGGAGGAAACUAUUUCUGAGAAUGGAAUAAAUGGGAGUGGAGGGGGUAUAAGAGGUCCAUCAUCCAUAGCCUCAAUGAUGAACAAGACAUCCGAAAAAUAGGAGGAUUAUUCAAGACUCGCCCCUCACUUCCUCCUCCCUUGUGAUCGGCAACCUCCCACUUACAGGUAUACCUUUCCUCACAGGCUUCUACU
rnacentral:lncRNA from 1 species